rnacentral:rRNA from 1 species
GACGAACGCUGGCGGCGUGCUUAACAUAUGCAAGUCGAACGAUGAAGCCGGAGCUUGCUCUGGUGAAUUAGUGGCGAACGGGUGAGUAACACGUGAGUAACCUGCCCUUGACUCUGGGAUAACUGCUAGAAAUGGUAGCUAAUACCGGAUACGACCCUCGGAGGCAUCUUCAGGGGGUGGAAAGAAUUUCGGUCAAGGAUGGACUCGCGGCCUAUCAGCUAGUUGGUGAGGUAAUGGCUCACCAAGGCGACGACGGGUAGCCGGCCUGAGAGGGUGACCGGCCACACUGGGACUGAGACACGGCCCAGACUCCUACGGGAGGCAGCAGUGGGGAAUAUUGCACAAUGGGCGCAAGCCUGAUGCAGCAACGCCGCGUGAGGGAUGACGGCCUUCGGGUUGUAAACCUCUUUUAGUAGGGAAGGAGCGAAAGUGACGGUACCUGCAGAAAAAGCACCGGCUAACUACGUGCCAGCCGCCGCGGUAA